rnacentral:rRNA from 1 species
GACCUCAAAUCAGGUAGGACUACCCGCUGAACUUAAGCAUAUCAAUAAGCGGAGGAAAAGAAACUAACAAGGAUUCCCCUAGUAACUGCGAGUGAAGCGGGAAAAGCUCAAAUUUGUAAUCUGGUGGCUCUUGGCCAUCCGAGUUGUAAUCUAGAGAAGUGUUACCCGUGCUGGACUGUGUACAAGUCUCCUGGAAUGGGGCAUCAUAGAGGGUGAGAAUCCCGUCUUUGACACGGACUACCAGUGCACUGUGGGUGUGCUCUCGAAGAGUCGAGUUGUUUGGGAAUGCAGCUCAAAAUGGGUGGUAAAUGCCAUCUAAAGCUAAAUAUUGGCGAGAGACCGAUAGCGAACAAGUACCGUGAGGGAAAGAUGAAAAGUACUUUGGAAAGAGAGUUAAACAGUACGUGAAAUUGCUGAAAGGGAAACGCUUGAAGUCAGUCGCGUCGGCAGGGAAUCAGCCUCGCUUUUGCUUGGUGUACUUUCCUGUCUUGACGGGUCAGCAUCAAUCUUGACCACUGGAUAAAGUCCAUGGGAAUGUAGCAUCUUUUGGAUGUGUUAUAGCCUGUUGUCGCAUACGGUGGUUGGGAUUGAGGAACUCAGCACGCCCGCGAGGGACGGGUUCGACCACGUUUUCGUG